UAACAGUGUGGUUCCAGAAGUAAAAAUCCCAUUGAUUUUCCCCAAAAGAUUUUGAUUAUUAGCCAUAAUGUAUAAACCAUCCAAAUAAACUUACCAGAAACUUGAAUGGAAAU